GACGAACCGUGCAAACGUUGUUCGGAAUCACUGGGCUUAAAGGGCGCGUAGGCGGUGUGUUAAGUCGGCGGUGAAAUACUUCGGCUCAACCGUAGAAUUGCCGCUGAAACUGGCACACUGGAGGGAGGUAGAGGUGCGUGGAACUUCCGGUGGAGCGGUGAAAUGCGUUGAUAUCGGAAGGAACACCGGUGGCGAAAGCGGCGCACUGGACCUCUUCUGACGCUGAGGCGCGAAAGCUAGGGGAGCGAACGGGAUUAGAUACCCCGGUAGUCCUAGCCCUAAACGAUGGGUACUAGAGAGUAGAUGCUCCGAUGUGUUUACUCUCGAAGCAAAAGUGGUAAGUACCCCGCCUGGGGAGUAUGGUCGCAAGGCUGAA
rnacentral:rRNA from 1 species